rfam:Schistosoma mattheei strain Denwood, Zambia genome assembly, scaffold: SMTD_scaffold0001171
AUCCAGCUGACGAGUCCAAAAUAGGACGGAACGCGCAUCAAACUGGAU